CUUGGUCAUUUAGAGGAAGUAAAAGUCGUAACAAGGUUUCCGUAGGUGAACCUGCGGAAGGAUCAUUAAUGAAUUCAACCUAGUCAACGGCAGCAAUGCCUUGGCAGGUUUCAUAUCCAUAACACCUGUGAACUGUAAGAUGUGGUGACUUUAGUCCCCGUCUGCCCUAUUUAAACACUAGUAGUAUCAAAAGUAGUAUUAUUAUAACCUAAUAAAACUUUCAACAACGGAUCUCUUGGCUCUCGCAUCGAUGAAGAACGCAGCGAAAUGCGAUAAGUAAUGUGAAUUGCAGAAUUCAGUGAAUCAUCGAAUCUUUGAACGCACCUUGCGCUCUAUGGUAUUCCGUAGAGCAUGCCUGUUUGAGUGUCAUGAAAACAAUCAAUACUUGGGACUUUGGGUAACUCCAAAGGGCAAGAUUGGGUUUGGAUGUUUGCCAUCUUCACAGUUGGCUCAUCUUAAAUGUAUUAGCUAGAUGUGUCUUGAGACAGGUUUGACUUGGCGUAAUAAGUGUUUCGCUAGGGACAUCCUUCGGGAUGGCCAAUCUCUUGUACCAAUUUGCUUUCUAACAUAUGCUACUCUUCGGAGACAUGACUUUUAUUAUUUGCCUCAAAUCAGGUAGGACUACCCGCUGAACUUAAGCAUAUCAAUAAGCGGAGGAAAAGAAACUAACAAGGAUUCCCCUAGUAACGGCGAGUGAAGCGGGAAGAGCUCAAAUUUGAAAUCUGGUGGCCUCAGGUCAUCCGAGUUGUAAUCUAUAGAAACAUUUUCGUGCCAGCUCAUGUACAAGUCCCUUGGAACAGGGCGUCAUAGAGGGUGAGAAUCCCGUCCUUGACAUGAAGUACUGGUGCUCUGUGAUAUGUUUUCAACGAGUCGAGUUGUUUGGGAAUGCAGCUCAAAAUGGGUGGUAAAUUCCAUCUAAAGCUAAAUAUUGGCGAGAGACCGAUAGCGAACAAGUACCGUGAGGGAAAGAUGAAAAGCACUUUGGAAAGAGAGUUAAACAGUAUGUGAAAUUGUUGAAAGGGAAACGCUUGAAGU
rnacentral:rRNA from 1 species